GACGAACGCUGGCGGCGUGCUUAACACAUGCAAGUCGAACGGAAAGGCCCCUUUGGGGGUCCUCGAGUGGCGAACGGGUGAGUAACACGUGAGUAACCUGCCCUUGACUUCGGGAUAACUUCAGGAAACUGGGGCUAAUACCGGAUAGGAAUCCUUGCUGCAUGGUGGGGGUUGGAAAGCUUCGGCGGUUUUGGAUGGACUCGCGGCGUAUCGGCUUGUUGGUGGGGUAGUGGCUUACCAAGGCUUUGUCGGGUAGCCGGCCUGUGAGGGCGACCGGCCACAUUGGGACUUAGAUGCGGCCCAGACUCCGACGGGAGGCAGCUGGGGGGAAUAUUGCACAAUGGGCGGCAGCCUGAUGCAGCAACGCCGCGUGCGGGAUGACGGCCUUCGGGUUGUAAACCGCUUUCAGCAGGGGCGAAGCUUGUGGUGACGGUACCUGCAGAAGAAGCACCGGCUAACUACGUG
rnacentral:rRNA from 1 species